UUGCUGCAUAGAAGCACUGGCUCUUCAAUGUAUUAUAGCAAAGUGUGAUUAUCUAUUACAAGCAGGGGACAUCUAUUCAGAGCACAACUACAAACAACUGAUAACAUAAAUUCUAUAACAGAUAAUUGAUCAUGUUUGACAAGUGGAAAAGCUCAAUCAGCAUGGAGGUGGGCAUUGUCAUGCGUCGGCGAGGAGCCUUGGGAGAUCAGCUCGGCGCCCUCGGGCCAUGGCUGCACCGUCGGAGAUGUGGUGUUCGCAUGGAGAAGACCAAGAUGCCACCUUUGGUUUCCAGCGCGAGCGUCACCAGUAGACAUGGAAUUACCUUUAACCCAGGACUUCCUUUGUCAGAUGUAAUAGUGCAAAACAAUUAACCUUUCAGUGUAAGAGGACAUAACCCAUAUUUAACCAUUUGAUUUUCUCCUAUAAGUGAACAAAAGGAUGUAUGUAAGUGUACUUGAAAAUAGAUCAAUUUGGUAACAAGACACCAUGAAUUUGUAGUACUCCCCAACACUGAUAACACCCUAAUAUUUAAAAUAAUUUUGGAUGGCGGGUGGGACGAGACAAACUUUGUUGGCCUAUGAGUGAAAACAAAUAGUGUUUGCCUUAUUAAUGUUUUAAGUAAAAGAAUAAUUAACCGAGGCAUGAAUCUUGAGAAGAUUACCUAGGCUAAAUUGAGAGGCACACCAUCGAGAUGCAUGACGGGACAACAAGCUCGGUGCCCGGCGAUGGGCGGUAGGUGGCCAUGUGUGUCCACGCCUAAAAUGACCAGCAUCCUGACAAUGGCAAAAACAUGGUUGAACUUCAAAUCUGCGCACUUGAGCUGAUAAAUCUCUGGAGUAGAAGAUAAAUUAGAUAAAGUGAAGACUGCUAUACCAACUAUGUGCAAAAUCUUGACCAAGAAUGAUAACAAAGACUCCAAUUCCAACAAGCAUUACCUGAUGCAGAAGAACAAACAUUGAAAUGCAGUUAAAUUUUGAACAAAAAAAUAGAAGUUCAACAAAACUAUUGACGAAUUGCAGCGAUGUAUAAUUACUUGUUAUAAUGUGGUGGUAUCACGGAAGAAAUGCAUUGAGACAUUAAGUUCUGCUAGGCAUAGUUCAGAGUUUUUUUGUUGGAAGAUAACAAUGCACACAUAAAUCAAUCUUACUGAAUUUGUUACAUGCCCACACCCGAAAUAUUAUGACUAUAAGCAUUUUUUAUCUAUUAAAAGAAAAGAUCAUUAGGCAACAGUACAAGCCACCCAAAAAAGGAUGAAGGAACCUUUUUAUAUGUCUGACAAAUGUUCCGGUAAUUAGAGAUAGCUUAGUCAAUACACGAUUGGUCACUUAUGAUCUGCACAUCUUAUCCUGCUUGACUACCACACUAUCUUGCAUCUUGGACCCAGUGUCACUUUCACAUUCAGGAAGUUGAUCCGGUUGUAGUGUUAGAGAGCACAUUUGCAUCUUAUCCUCAUCUUAUUCUCAGCUUUCUGAAUAUAUAAGCAGCAGAGCAUGAACAUGUACAGGAGGUGGUCGGGCAGCAAAGAGGGCAUCACCUUCGCAAAAUCGGAAGAGGUGGUCGGGGAGGCAGAGAAUCGACACAGCCGCCGGGUUCUUCGGCGGAAGACGGCGAGCAGGACGGGGAUGACUUGUUGG
rnacentral:lncRNA from 1 species